UACACAUAUAUGUUUUGUUAAAACAACACAAAUAUAUUUAGUUUUCCAACAAAACACAAUUGUAUUGUGUUUAAUCAACUUAAAAUGUUUAAUUUUAAAGUUUACUUAAUUAUCAAUCGUUAAAGUAACGUAAAGGGUUUAAUUUCGUGAUUCAAAAAAAACCGGAAGUGACGAUUUCCAACGCAUUUGAUGACGGUGUGGAGGGGAGCAAGAGGUAUCAGUCAGGUUUGUGCAGAAUUUGAGACAUCCAGAAUUACCAUAGGCCCAUUAGAAUCAACAAUCUUUGCCAAACUUGAUUCGGACUGCAAAAUUUACGAAGAUGUUUUCAUACUGAAGAAGAGACCUUGGACAAAUAUUGAAACCCUCUUGGUGCCCACUACACAGGCAGGGGUGUCCAGACCUGCUCUAGGAAAGCCAGUGUUCUGUGGGGUUCAGCUCUAACACACCUGCCUGGAACUUCAGACUAAUGAAAUUGAAGUAUCCAAAUGAAGACCCUAGCAGUAUGGAGUAUAUGGAUACAGACGUUGCCAGCAGUCAGGAGGUGAUCCAGAAGACUCAUGGGAAUCUAUUUGAAGCUGCAUCAUUGAAGACAGUCCAGCAGAAGUUGGAGUUUUAAAGGAUAAAGUUCUUCAGGACCUAUAGCAGUUUACAGUCUGUAAAACCAUGUUACUGGGACUGAUUUAUGGACUGAACUUGAGCAACCCUCCUGAACUCAGGUACACAUUUGGAAUACUGAAGAAGUUAUUUCUGGAGCCACUUCCUGUUCCUGGAAUAAGGUUUGAUUGGUUGCCCAUGAAUGCCAAUUAGAAUUGUAUUUGCUAUUUUGUGUAAUUUUGUAAUGUGGUUUAAACUGUAUUUUACUGUGUGUAAUUAUUUAUUGCUUGUUUAACAAAUACACUUUGAUCAUUUGUGA